ensembl:snRNA U6 U6 spliceosomal RNA
GUGCUCACUUCGGCAGCACAUACUAAAAUCGGGACAAUAUGGAGAAGAUUAACACAGCCUCUGUGCAAGAAGGACAUGCAAAUUCGUGAAGUGUUCUAGACUUUU